rnacentral:lncRNA from 1 species
AUAUAUAUAUUAACAAAUAUAUGAAACAUAUACAAUAAAUAUCGGAAGGAAAAUGUAAAUAUAGGGGGUUCAUGCAUCAUGAGGAAUGUUUUUAUGCUUCAUGGUCGUUUCAAAUAUCUUAAUUUAUUUUAAAAGAACCUGACUGGCAGAAAACAAUUGAGCCUUUGAUGUUGUAGAAGAGCCUCCUCCACGAACCUUCAGUUCCUUAGCUUAUGGCAUGAGCGUGUCGAUAAUGUGUUGUAGGCCUAAUUUAUUGAAAAAUAUAAAGGAUAGGGAGAGAGGGGGUCGGCGGCACAGAGAGAAGAGAGAGAUGUGUAAGGUGUGUGUAUGCCUCCUCAUUGUGCCUGUAUUUAUAGUAGUAGGGUAGGUAAAUUUCUUACCCCAAUGGGAUUACAACUCUAAUAGGAUAAUAUCUAAUCUAUAUCCUAGAUCUGUUAGGAUUUACACAAUCACAUUCCUAAUCUAACAGGACUACAACAACUAUUAUAUUAUAUAUGUAUAUAUAUUUAUAUUCAGUGAACCUAUGCUAUUAUUACCUUAUUCAUUACUCACAGCAUAAUAUAUUAAUAGAUAAUAUAAUAGUAUUCACCGGACCCUAUAUUAUAUUUAUUAUGUGUCAAACCCUAUACUAUAUUCAUUACGCAUCAAACAUCAUGCUUAUGGGAGAUAUCAACGGCCAACAUCAUCAAUGUUUUACUCAAUACUCUUAUUUUUAUACUCUACAAAAUUGAUUCAUUGCUAUGUUUUUUAUUAUUGGAUGUGGCUAUUUGAUGCGAUGAAAGUUAAGCACUCAAAUUAAACCCUCUUGUUGUCAAAUUGUAGUAUAAAUGCAAGUAGUGUUGGAAGUAUGCCCACAAAGCCACUCAUUUGAUGUAAUAGCCUUUUGGAAUACUUAAUGUAUUAAACUUUUAUAUGUUUAAUGGAGGGCAAAGCUUAUUG